GGUUAAGCGACUAAGCGUACACGGUGGAUGCCCUGGCAGUCAGAGGCGAUGAAGGACGUGCUAAUCUGCGAUAAGCGUCGGUAAGGUGAUAUGAACCGUUAUAACCGGCGAUUUCCGAAUGGGGAAACCCAGUGUGUUUCGACACACUAUCAUUAACUGAAUCCAUAGGUUAAUGAGGCGAACCGGGGGAACUGAAACAUCUAAGUACCCCGAGGAAAAGAAAUCAACCGAGAUUCCCCCAGUAGCGGCGAGCGAACGGGGAGCAGCCCAGAGCCUGAAUCAGUGUGUGUGUUAGUGGAAGCGUCUGGAAAGGCGUGCGAUACAGGGUGACAGCCCCGUACACAAAAAUGCACAUAUUGUGAGCUCGAUGAGUAGGGCGGGACACGUGGUAUCCUGUCUGAAUAUGGGGGGACCAUCCUCCAAGGCUAAAUACUCCUGACUGACCGAUAGUGAACCAGUACCGUGAGGGAAAGGCGAAAAGAACCCCGGCGAGGGGAGUGAAAAAGAACCUGAAACCGUGUACGUACAAGCAGUGGGAGCACGCUUAGGCGUGUGACUGCGUACCUUUUGUAUAAUGGGUCAGCGACUUAUAUUCUGUAGCAAGGUUAACCGAAUAGGGGAGCCGAAGGGAAACCGAGUCUUAACUGGGCGUUAAGUUGCAGGGUAUAGACCCGAAACCCGGUGAUCUAGCCAUGGGCAGGUUGAAGGUUGGGUAACACUAACUGGAGGACCGAACCGACUAAUGUUGAAAAAUUAGCGGAUGACUUGUGGCUGGGGGUGAAAGGCCAAUCAAACCGGGAGAUAGCUGGUUCUCCCCGAAAGCUAUUUAGGUAGCGCCUCGUGAAUUCAUCUCCGGGGGUAGAGCACUGUUUCGGCAAGGGGGUCAUCCCGACUUACCAACCCGAUGCAAACUGCGAAUACCGGAGAAUGUUAUCACGGGAGACACACGGCGGGUGCUAACGUCCGUCGUGAAGAGGGAAACAACCCAGACCGCCAGCUAAGGUCCCAAAGUCAUGGUUAAGUGGGAAACGAUGUGGGAAGGCCCAGACAGCCAGGAUGUUGGCUUAGAAGCAGCCAUCAUUUAAAGAAAGCGUAAUAGCUCACUGGUCGAGUCGGCCUGCGCGGAAGAUGUAACGGGGCUAAACCAUGCACCGAAGCUGCGGCAGCGACGCUUAUGCGUUGUUGGGUAGGGGAGCGUUCUGUAAGCCUGCGAAGGUGUGCUGUGAGGCAUGCUGGAGGUAUCAGAAGUGCGAAUGCUGACAUAAGUAACGAUAAAGCGGGUGAAAAGCCCGCUCGCCGGAAGACCAAGGGUUCCUGUCCAACGUUAAUCGGGGCAGGGUGAGUCGACCCCUAAGGCGAGGCCGAAAGGCGUAGUCGAUGGGAAACAGGUUAAUAUUCCUGUACUUGGUGUUACUGCGAAGGGGGGACGGAGAAGGCUAUGUUGGCCGGGCGACGGUUGUCCCGGUUUAAGCGUGUAGGCUGGUUUUCCAGGCAAAUCCGGAAAACUAAGGCUGAGGCGUGAUGACGAGGCACUACGGUGCUGAAGCAACAAAUGCCCUGCUUCCAGGAAAAGCCUCUAAGCAUCAGGUAACAUCAAAUCGUACCCCAAACCGACACAGGUGGUCAGGUAGAGAAUACCAAGGCGCUUGAGAGAACUCGGGUGAAGGAACUAGGCAAAAUGGUGCCGUAACUUCGGGAGAAGGCACGCUGAUAUGUAGGUGAAGUCCCUCGCGGAUGGAGCUGAAAUCAGUCGAAGAUACCAGCUGGCUGCAACUGUUUAUUAAAAACACAGCACUGUGCAAACACGAAAGUGGACGUAUACGGUGUGACGCCUGCCCGGUGCCGGAAGGUUAAUUGAUGGGGUUAGCGCAAGCGAAGCUCUUGAUCGAAGCCCCGGUAAACGGCGGCCGUAACUAUAACGGUCCUAAGGUAGCGAAAUUCCUUGUCGGGUAAGUUCCGACCUGCACGAAUGGCGUAAUGAUGGCCAGGCUGUCUCCACCCGAGACUCAGUGAAAUUGAACUCGCUGUGAAGAUGCAGUGUACCCGCGGCAAGACGGAAAGACCCCGUGAACCUUUACUAUAGCUUGACACUGAACAUUGAGCCUUGAUGUGUAGGAUAGGUGGGAGGCUUUGAAGUGUGGACGCCAGUCUGCAUGGAGCCGACCUUGAAAUACCACCCUUUAAUGUUUGAUGUUCUAACGUUGACCCGUAAUCCGGGUUGCGGACAGUGUCUGGUGGGUAGUUUGACUGGGGCGGUCUCCUCCUAAAGAGUAACGGAGGAGCACGAAGGUUGGCUAAUCCUGGUCGGACAUCAGGAGGUUAGUGCAAUGGCAUAAGCCAGCUUGACUGCGAGCGUGACGGCGCGAGCAGGUGCGAAAGCAGGUCAUAGUGAUCCGGUGGUUCUGAAUGGAAGGGCCAUCGCUCAACGGAUAAAAGGUACUCCGGGGAUAACAGGCUGAUACCGCCCAAGAGUUCAUAUCGACGGCGGUGUUUGGCACCUCGAUGUCGGCUCAUCACAUCCUGGGGCUGAAGUAGGUCCCAAGGGUAUGGCUGUUCGCCAUUUAAAGUGGUACGCGAGCUGGGUUUAGAACGUCGUGAGACAGUUCGGUCCCUAUCUGCCGUGGGCGCUGGAGAACUGAGGGGGGCUGCUCCUAGUACGAGAGGACCGGAGUGGACGCAUCACUGGUGUUCGGGUUGUCAUGCCAAUGGCACUGCCCGGUAGCUAAAUGCGGAAGAGAUAAGUGCUGAAAGCAUCUAAGCACGAAACUUGCCCCGAGAUGAGUUCUCCCUGACUCCUUGAGAGUCCUGAAGGAACGUUGAAGACGACGACGUUGAUAGGCCGGGUGUGUAAGCGCAGCGAUGCGUUGAGCUAACCGGUACUAAUGAACCGUGAGGCUUAACCUU
rnacentral:rRNA from 1 species